GACGAACGCUGGCGGCGUGCUUAACACAUGCAAGUCGAACGAUGAAGCGGUGCUUGCACCGUGGAUUAGUGGCGAACGGGUGAGUAAUACGUGAGUGACCUACCUUUGACUCUGGGAUAAGCCUGGGAAACUGGGUCUAAUACCGGAUACGACCAACCUCUGCAUGGGGUGUUGGUGGAAAGCGUUAUGGAGUGGUUUUAGAUGGGCUCACGGCCUAUCAGCUUGUUGGUGAGGUAAUGGCUUACCAAGGCGACGACGGGUAGCCGGCCUGAGAGGGUGACCGGCCACACUGGGACUGAGACACGGCCCAGACUCCUACGGGAGGCAGCAGUGGGGAAUAUUGCACAAUGGGCGCAAGCCUGAUGCAGCGACGCCGCGUGAGGGAUGACGGCCUUCGGGUUGUAAACCUCUGUUAGCAUCGAAGAAGCGAAAGUGACGGUAGGUGCAGAGAAAGCGCCGGCUAACUACGUGCCAGCAGCCGCGGUAAUACGUAGGGCGCGAGCGUUGUCCGGAAUUAUUGGGCGUAAAGAGCUUGUAGGGCGGUUGGUCGCGUCUGCUGUGAAAGGCCGGGGCUUAACUCCGGUUUCGCAGUGGGUACGGGCUAACUAGAGUGCAGUAGGGGAGACUGGAAUUCCUGGUGUAGCGGUGGAAUGCACAGAUAUCAGGAGGAACACCGAUGGCGAAGGCAGGUCUCUGGGCUGUAACUGACGCUGAGAAGCGAAAGCAUGGGGAGCGAACAGGAUUAGAUACCCUGGUAGUCCAUGCCGUAAACGUUGGGCACUAGGUGUGGGGGACAUUCCACGUUUUCCGCGCCGUAGCUAACGCAUUAAGUGCCCCGCCUGGGGAGUACGGCCGCAAGGCUAAAACUCAAAGGAAUUGACGGGGGCCCGCACAAGCGGCGGAGCAUGCGGAUUAAUUCGAUGCAACGCGAAGAACCUUACCAAGGCUUGACAUGCAUUAGAUCGCGUCAGAGAUGGCGUUUCCCUUCGGGGCUGGUGUACAGGUGGUGCAUGGUUGUCGUCAGCUCGUGUCGUGAGAUGUUGGGUUAAGUCCCGCAACGAGCGCAACCCUCGUUCUAUGUUGCCAGCGGUUCGGCCGGGGACUCAUAGGAGACUGCCGGGGUCAACUCGGAGGAAGGUGGGGAUGACGUCAAAUCAUCAUGCCCCUUAUGUCUUGGGCUUCACGCAUGCUACAAUGGCCGGUACAGAGGGUUGCGAUACUGUGAGGUGGAGCUAAUCCCUUAAAGCCGGUCUCAGUUCGGAUUGGGGUCUGCAACUCGACCCCAUGAAGUCGGAGUCGCUAGUAAUCGCAGAUCAGCAACGCUGCGGUGAAUACGUUCCCGGGCCU
rnacentral:rRNA from 1 species